rnacentral:rRNA from 1 species
GAACCAGUACCGUGAGGGAAAGGUGAAAAGCACCCCGGAAGGGGAGUGAAAUAGAACCUGAAACCGUGUGCUUACAAGUAGUCAGAGCCCGUUAAUGGGUGAUGGCGUGCCUUUUGUAGAAUGAACCGGCGAGUUACGAUUUGAUGCAAGGUUAAGCAGUAAAUGUGGAGCCGUAGCGAAAGCGAGUCUGAAUAGGGCGUUUAGUAUUUGGUCGUAGACCCGAAACCAGGUGAUCUACCCUUGGUCAGGUUGAAGUUCAGGUAACACUGAAUGGAGGACCGAACCGACUUACGUUGAAAAGUGAGCGGAUGAACUGAGGGUAGCGGAGAAAUUCCAAUCGAACCUGGAGAUAGCUGGUUCUCUCCGAAAUAGCUUUAGGGCUAGCCUCAAGUGAUGAUUAUUGGAGGUAGAGCACUGUUUGGACGAGGGGCCCCUCUCGGGUUACCGAAUUCAGACAAACUCCGAAUGCCAAUUAAUUUAACUUGGGAGUCAGAACAUGGGUGAUAAGGUCCGUGUUCGAAAGGGAAACAGCCCAGACCACCAGCUAAGGUCCCAAAAUAUAUGUUAAGUGGAAAAGGAUGUGGCGUUGCCCAGACAACUAGGAUGUUGGCUUAGAAGCAGCCAUCAUUUAAAGAGUGCGUAAUAGCUCACUAGUCGAGUGACACUGCGCCGAAAAUGUACCGGGGCUAAACAUAUUACCGAAGCUGUGGAUUGUCCUUUGGACAAUGGUAGGAGAGCGUUCUAAGGGCGUUGAAGCAUGAUCGUAAGGACAUGUGGAGCGCUUAGAAGUGAGAAUGCCGGUGUGAGUAGCGAAAGACGGGUGAGAAUCCCGUCCACCGAUUGACUAAGGUUUCCAGAGGAAGGCUCGUCCGCUCUGGGUUAGUCGGGUCCUAAGCUGAGGCCGACAGGCGUAGGCGAUGGAUAACAGGUUGAUAUUCCUGUACCACCUAUAAUCGUUUUAAUCGAUGGGGGGACGCAGUAGGAUAGGCGAAGCGUGCGAUUGGAUUGCACGUCUAAGCAGUAAGGCUGAGUAUUAGGCAAAUCCGGUACUCAUUAAGGCUGAGCUGUGAUGGGGAGAAGACAUUGUGUCUUCGAGUCGUUGAUUUCACACUGCCGAGAAAAGCCUCUAGAUAGAAAAUAGGUGCCCGUACCGCAAACCGACACAGGUAGUCAAGAUGAGAAUUCUAAGGUGAGCGAGCGAACUCUCGUUAAGGAACUCGGCAAAAUGACCCCGUAACUUCGGGAGAAGGGGUGCUCUUUAGGGUUAACGCCCAGAAGAGCCGCAGUGAAUAGGCCCAAGCGACUGUUUAUCAAAAACACAGGUCUCUGCUAAACCGUAAGGUGAUGUAUGCUGUCUCUUAUACACAUCU